CCAAGAAAAGCGUCUAGAGAGAGAAGUAGUGCCCGUACCGCAAACCGACACAGGUAGGUGAGGAGAGAAUCCUAAGGCCGGCGGAAGAAUUACAGUUAAGGAACUCGGCAAAUUGACCCCGUAAGUUCGCGAGAAGGGGUGCCUACGAGAGUAGGCCGCAGAGAAUAGGCCCAAGCAACUGUUUAGCAAAAACACAGGUCUCUGCUAAAGCGUAAGCUGAUGUAUAGGGGCUGACGCCUGCCCGGUGCUGG
rnacentral:rRNA from 1 species